UACGGAGGGUGCAAGCGUUGCUCGGAAUUAUUGGGCGUAAAGGGUAGGUAGGUGGUCUCACUUGUUUGAGGUGAAAGCCUCGGGCUUAACCCGAGAAGUGCCUCAAAAACGGUGAGACUUGAGUCCUGGAGAGGGUUGUGGAAUUCCCGGUGUAGCGGUGAAAUGCGUAGAGAUCGGGAGGAACACCAGAGGCGAAGGCGGCAACCUGGACAGGCACUGACACUCAACUACGAAAGCGUGGGGAUCAAACAGG
rnacentral:rRNA from 1 species